GACGAACGCUGGCGGCGUGCCUAAUACAUGCAAGUCGAACGCUCUUUUCUUAUCGAACUUCGGUUCACCAAGAAAAGGGAGUGGCGAACGGGUGAGUAACACGUGGGUAACCUGCCCAUAAGAGGGGGAUAACAUCCGGAAACGGGUGCUAAUACCGCAUAGUUUUCUUGAUCGCAUGAUUGAGAAAGGAAGACGGCCUUUGUGCUGUCGCUUAUGGAUGGACCCGCGGCGUAUUAGUUAGUUGGUGAGGUAACGGCUCACCAAG
rnacentral:rRNA from 1 species